CGGACGGGUGAGUAAUGUCUGGGAAACUGCCUGAUGGAGGGGGGUAACUACUGGAAACGGUAGCUAAUACCGCAUAACGUCGCAAGACCAAAGAGGGGGACCUUAGGGCCUCUUGCCAUCGGAUGUGCCCAGAUGGGAUUAGCUAGUAGGUGGGGUAAAGGCUCACCUAGGCGACGAUCCCUAGCUGGUCUGAGAGGAUGACCAGCCACACUGGAACUGAGACACGGUCCAG
rnacentral:rRNA from 1 species